AUGCGAUACUUGGUGUGAAUUGCAGAAUUCAGUGAAUCAUCGAAUCUUUGAACGCACCUUGCGCCCUUUGGUAUUCCGAGGGGCAUGCCUGUUUGAGUGUCAUUAAAUACCAUCAACCCUCUUUUGACUUCGGUCUCGAGAGUGGCUUGGAAGUGGAGGUCUGCUGGAGCCUAACGGAGCCAGCUCCUCUUAAAUGUAUUAGCGGAUUUCCCUUGCGGGAUCGCGUCUCCGAUGUGAUAAUUUCUACGUCGUUGACCAUCUCGGGGCUGACCUAGUCAGUUUCAAUAGGAGUCUGCUUCCAACCGUCUCUUGACCGAGACUAGCGACUUGUGCGCUAACUUUUGACUUGACCUCAAAUCAGGUAGGACUACCCGCUGAACUUAAGCAUAUCAAUAAGCGGAGGA
rnacentral:rRNA from 1 species